UACGUAGGGUGCAAGCGUUGUCCGGAAUUAUUGGGCGUAAAGAGCUCGUAGGCGGUCUGUCGCGUCUGCUGUGAAAACUCAGGGCUUAACCCUGAGCUUGCAGUGGGUACGGGCAGACUAGAGUGCGGUAGGGGAGACUGGAAUUCCUGGUGUAGCGGUGAAAUGCGCAGAUAUCAGGAGGAACACCGGUGGCGAAGGCGGCAUUCUGGACCGAUAUUGACGCUGAGGAGCGAAAGCCAGGGGAGCAAACGGG
rnacentral:rRNA from 1 species